GAACUGAGGACGCUCUUCCCAAGCUACCAUCUCUGCAUAUAUCCACCAAUAACAGGAUGCCUCAAUAAGAAAUGGAACCAAAUGGCCAAGGCUGAGCUAGCUCCUUGGAGUUCCAGGGUAUUGGACAUCCACUCUACCAAGAAACUGAGAAGAAUCCACAGGCAAAGAUGCCAGGAAUAAAAGGAGGGGCUUCCAUGACAUUUACAGGAAGUUGAAUACAAACCCAAAUGUGUACAUUUAUGGAAGCAGCACCUAUCAGGCAGAAAACAAAAAUUCUGGUUCGACCUCCAAAGAAGGGUUUUCUCUCCUUCAACCAAGUACUCCAGGGGCUGCUUCUCUGAACACCAGAUCCCUGGUUCCUCUUUCAUCCCUCCUGUCAACAUUUGGUACUUGAAAGUGUCUGCUGCAGCUGCUUUUGGGUGGCUAACUUCAGCAUCUCAGGGAUAGCUACGUCAGUACCAGCGCUCUGAUUCCUUGCCAACAGGAGCACCAGAAACACCUGGCAUUUUCCAACUCACCGAGCCAAAUCUGGCCAUCAUUAUUUUAUCUGCUAAUUCUGAAAUUAAUUUCUACAGGGGAGGAGAAUUCUGUGUUUUAAAGCUCUCCACUUUAAAAGAAGGCAUGGAAGAAAUGAAAACGUGAAAUCCUGUCCUAGAAGUGGGAACUAAAAAUGUGGAUGAGUGAACCUGAGGACUAAUCUAAUUUCUGUCACCUCAUAGAGAUGAUGCGACUCUGGUCAUAUAAUGGAACGAUUCUGGCUCUUAGAUUUUGAUUAUAACAGAACCAAUGUCAUUAGGUACUCUGAAGAACAACUAAGCUUAUCAUAUAAAAUAAAAUAUGUCAUUCAGGCCAGCACAACGAACAUUUAGU